ACCAUAGCACAGACCGUCAUCAUGUGCCAAUACCUACUUCUUUUUUUCUAACUCAGAUAACCAACUCCAAGUCUCUUCAUUCACUAUUGUGAUUUUACCCAUGAUAAAAUUAAACUUGCGAACUUGAUGAGUGCUUUCUGCUUACCAUACUGCUCUUUUAAGUUGCAUAUUUUUAAAAUGAAUAUUGAAAUUACUGCAGAUAUAUCAUAAGCAGUAUCGGUGA
rnacentral:lncRNA from 1 species